CCGGCGGCGGAGCGCCUGCGUGGCGGCGCCCUAAAGUUUUCCGCUUGUGAGUUCCUUGCCUCCUUCGGUUUCCCCAGCACACCUGAGGGCUAUGGCACAGUCCCAAAAGAACAGUGGCUCCCUAUGGCAGUGAGUCUCAACCAAGGGGCCAGUUCAGAAUUUUCAAAUGGGCAUAAAUCAGAUUGUGGGACUUCCCUGGUGGCGCAGUGGUUGAGAAUCCGCCUGCCAAUGAAGGGGACACGGGUUCGAGCCCUGGUCUGGGAAGAUCCCACAUGCCGCAGAGCAACUAAGCCUGUGUGCCACAACUACUGAGCCUGCGCUCUAGAGCCCGUGCUUCCCAACAAGAGAAGCCACUGCAAUGAGAAGCCUGCGCAUCGCAACAAAGAGUAGCCCCCGGUCGCCGCAACUAGAGAAAUCCUGCACGCAGCAACGAAGACCCAAUGCAGCCAAAAAUAGAUAAAUAAAAUAAAUAAAUUUAUAAAAAAUAAAUCAGAUUGUGUAC